rnacentral:lncRNA from 1 species
AUUAUGACAUGGUUGGCUCCCUGAAUCCUGUCCAUCAUAGCACCAGACUUUCACUGCAUCCUUUCUUGGGAAUCUGAAUGUAAGGGUACAAAAUAAAGCCUUGGGAUAGCAGAAUGACAGAUAAUCCCCUCAAGUACAAUUCUUAUUUCUGCCAGGUUGGACUUUGCAUGUAGAAUCAACCCUAUGAAUAUAUUUUUAAAUCUCUGAAUUUCAGAGCCAAUAUCCCAAGUCAUCUGGAAUCAGAAGCACUCGCCCAAACAGCCAUUGUCAUUCAUAGGAUAGAUGCACAGCAGCUGGCAGAUGUUGGAGGGUGAUAAUAUUUCCUGUUUGUAGAGCUAAGGACAGUAUUUCUGAUACCAUUCCCUUGCAGUCCAGUCCCCUACAGCCAUCCAAUGGAAAAAGGUUUCCAGGUCCCAUUACUACCUUUGGCUUGAGAGCUUUGGUUGCUUUUGUUUCUGUCACCACUACUUACCACUGGAAGAAUGAAAGGGAAUAUUAUAAUGGUGAGAAGAGAGCUGCUUUUAGAAUCAGAAGAUCUGAGUUCCAGUCCCCACUCUGGUUCUUGCUACUUGGGUGAUCCUGAACAAGUCUUUUCUCUUCACUGGUCUCAUUUUCUUCUUUUGUAAAAUGAAGGUUAAAAAAAAAAGAUCUAAGCACUUAUGAUAAGUAAUAAUUAUUAUUUGUUAUUAAAUAAAAGCACUAAGCCAUUAUUCUACA